UAAAGAGUAAAAGAAAAUAACUAAAUAACAAAAAAAAAUAAAAUUGAGUUAAAAACAUAAAAAUAUUUUUAUCUUGUAAAGGGAGAUAUCCUGAAUAUUCAGUUCUGUUCUACAAAAUGUUACCAAUAAAAAAUUUGCAAGAAUGAAAACUUUAGUCAAAAGAAUAAAAUUUUUUCAAAGACGACGAUCUCUGCACAAAUGUGAAGGGCCCUUAAAUCAUGACGAUGAAAUUGAAACAAAAAAUAAAGAAAAUCAAUUCAAAAUAGUUAAAAAUAGGAUAACAAAACUAGCCAAGAUAACUAAACUCCUAAAACCCUAAACCCUAUACACAUGUUGAUUAAAAAAAAA
rnacentral:lncRNA from 1 species